rnacentral:lncRNA from 1 species
UUAAUGGGAAGCUAUAUUUAUUUGACUUCUCUUUCUCUUCUACAAGCUAUAUUUCUUUUCUUUCUAUUUAUAUUAUACCAAUGAUCAAUAGAUUGCGCACCAACUCUAUCUUGACAAGGAUAGAUAAUCGGUAUAAUGAAUAAAGGCGACGCCAAGAUCAUGAAAGGGACAUACCAUCUUCCCUAGGAUGCCUUCUCUUAUUCAAGUGAUUUAUAGUUACAGGACAGGGACAGAUCACUCCUAAAGCUUCCUUUCUCAUAUUCGCAAAAGUAAACUCACUCCUUCUAUCUGGAAGAGCAUAGAGAAACAUUGAAUUGAAAGUCGAAGCACAAGGCAUAGAGUGAAUCGGAGAAAGAUAAGGAUAUCUAGGAAAAGUACUCAAAACAAUGCUAUGCGCAAAAAAGCACUUAAAAUAAUGCUAUGUGCUCUAUUAAUGUCACAAAAGAAAAGAAGUGGUUGAUAAUAGAUAUAGAUGAAGACGGCUCCUUAUUGUGUAAUCUGACCCGCUCUCUUAAGAUAGUUCAAUGAUCCGAGGGAAUCCAAGUAAGCUCUCCACGGUUGCAAAGUUGUGUUAUCCGGUAUCAUAGAUAGAAGAAGCGGUGUUGUAUCUCGGAACAGUAGAAAGCAAGCAAGUG